GCCGCGUUGGCGUAGUGGUAGCGCGUCGCACUUGUAUCAACUCAUAGUUGGGGAAUGCGAAGGUCACUUGUUCAAUCCAGGUACGUGGCA